rnacentral:rRNA from 1 species
CUUCGGACAAUAUACAAGGUGCUGCAGUGGUUGUCGUCAGCUCGUGCCGUGAGGUGGCGGGUUAAGUCCCAUAACGAGCGCAACCCCUAUCAUUAGUUGCCAUCAGGUCAAGCUGGGGACUCUAAUGAAACUGCCUACGCAAGUAGUGAGGAAGGUGGGGAUGACGUCAAAUCAGCACGGCCCUUACGUCCAGGGCUACACACGUGCUACAAUGGCCGAUACAGAGGGCAGCUACCUGGUGACAGGAUGCAAAUCUCCAAAGUCGGUCUCAGUUCGGAUCGGAGUCUGCAACCCGACUCCGUGAAGUUGGAUUCGCUAGUAAUCGCAGAUCAGCCAAGCUGCGGUGAAUACGUUCCCGGGCCUU